rnacentral:rRNA from 1 species
AUUGAACGCUGGCGGCAUGCUUUACACAUGCAAGUCGAACGGCAGCGCGGGCUUCGGCCUGGCGGCGAGUGGCGAACGGGUGAGUAAUGCAUCGGAACGUGCCCAGUAGUGGGGGAUAGCCCGGCGAAAGCCGGAUUAAUACCGCAUACGACCUGCGGGUGAAAGCGGGGGACCGAAAGGCCUCGCGCUAUUGGAGCGGCCGAUGUCGGAUUAGCUAGUUGGUGGGGUAAAGGCUUACCAAGGCGACGAUCCGUAGCUGGUCUGAGAGGACGACCAGCCACACUGGGACGGAGACACGGCCCAGACUCCUACGGGAGGCAGCAGUGGGGAAUUUUGGACAAUGGGGGCAACCCUGAUCCAGCCAUGCCGCGUGCGGGAAGAAGGCCUUCGGGUUGUAAACCGCUUUUGUUCGGGAAGAAAUCCUCUGGGCUAAUACCCCGGGGGGAUGACGGUACCGGAAGAAUAAGCACCGGCUAACUACGUG